rnacentral:pre_miRNA from 1 species
GGUAGUAAAAGAGGAGGCAACGUCUCAAACUCAGCUGCAAAGUUUAUUCGAAAUAAACUUUGCAGCUGGGUUUGAGACGUUGCCUCCUCUUUUACUACCU